rnacentral:rRNA from 1 species
GAGGAAGGUGGGGAUGACGUCAGAUCAUCAUGCCCCUUACGUCCAGGGCUUCACGCAUGCUACAAUGGCCGGUACAACGGGAUGCGACCUCGUGAGGGGGAGCGGAUCCCUUAAAACCGGUCUCAGUUCGGAUUGGAGUCUGCAACCCGACUCCAUGAAGGCGGAGUCGCUAGUAAUCGCGGAUCAGCAACGCCGCGGUGAAUGCGUUCCCGGGCCUUGUACACACCGCCCGUCAAGUCAUGAAAGUGGGUAGCACCCGAAGCCGGUGGCCCAACCUUUUGGGGGGANCCGUCUAAGGUGAGACUCGUGAUUGGGACUAAGUCGUAACAAGGUA